GUAAGCUAUCAUUGCACCACCACACUCCAGCCUGGGCAACAGAGCAAGACCCUGUCUCUAAAACAAGAAACAAAGUGCACCAGUGUGUGGAUACCAGCUUCUCCUGGUGUGUGGACCUGACCGUACUUGGCCCUAUCGGUGCAGCGGAGGCUGAACCCCUCUCCUGAUCUCCUGCAGGCCUCAUGGAAAUCCUGAAACAGCCUGGCUUGUAGAGGGCCAGGAGACCAAAGCUUGAAGACAGAGGGACGGUCUCCCAGAGUCUACUUAGCCCCAGCCUCAGUGCUGCAUCCAUGCUGUUUCUGGCUUCAGUGGGUCAAUUCUCUCCCGUAACAUCUGUAAGUGCUCCUGUGGUGAUGGAGGUGGCUGGAGAGAACAGGCUGCCAUAACCCUCCCUCCCUGAGAAGGCCCAAUGGGGAACGUUUUAGGCAUCAGGGCAUUCCAGGGAGCAUCUUCCAGGGACCCCUCCUACACCCUGCCCCGCCCUGGCUCUCUAGUCAGAAAUUGUAGUUGCUUGGACAGCUGGGCUGAUCCAGGACAAAUGCAUCUACUAGGCUGGUCUUCAGGGUGCUGGGGUGGGGGCAGGGGCACUUCAGGGAUAGGAAGGAGAGGCCUGUGUGUUCCAGAAGUACAGAGGAACCUGGUGCUGACUGCAGUCAACCCCGAUGUGAUGACCUUUCUACCCACCCUCUUUGAUGUCUUUGUGCUGGCUGCUGUCUUUGGCCAGGUAAGCUCAUGGUCUGUGCUCCUGGGGUCCCCUCACUGGGCCUGUCCACUGACUGCAGGUAGAGGAGCCUACAGGCCAGGACUGUCCUUGGCUUCCCCUUGCAGGUUGUGGGUUCAAAGACCAUUCCUGGGUUCCACCACCACCAAGCCUCAGCGGUGUCCUGAUGGGCACAGGAGCUGCUGGGGCUUUCUAGGUUAAGACCCUUGCCUAUCCCAGAAUUCCCCCACUGCAGUAGGGGGGCUGCAGGGGUCAGCCUCAGUCUCUGCCCUGGGAGCCUGCCUUACCUUGCCCGGGCAUCCCCACACCUCCCCUGGAAGACCCCCCACACCCAGUGGCUCUGAUCCACUGUAGAGCAGCCAGGGCCCCCGUUGCUCACACCCUCUGGCCUGAGGCUGACUGGCAUUGUGGCUGGGUUUGAGGGUCAGGGUUGGGGGUGGGCCUUGCCCUCAACAGCCCCCCACUCCCACUCUGACCCCUUUUCAAUCUUCCUCCUCUUGUGGGUUCUAUCCUUGGACCCUCCCAGCUCCUCACACCGGAUGACUUUCUAAAUAUCCAGAAAUCACUUUUUAAAAUACUAGCUUCAGGGCUAGGAGUGCCUAGAGCAGACCAAGAAGGCUAUGGCCAGGCGGGGGCUCUGCCUCCCCGACUUCUGCCCUCAACCCCAGACCCCAGGUCUGAGCCCUGGGCCACCCAGGGCUACCCUGGACCCACCAGAAUUCCUCCACCACCUCUUGGUCAAAGUUUUGUAGAGGUCUGAGGACAAGGGUCAG